rnacentral:lncRNA from 1 species
AUCUGUUUAAUAACAAUGUAAUGUCAUAUUUCUAUGAAAUUCUCAAAAGGAGACAAAAAGAAGUGUCAUUGGACAAGUUCCUUGUUAAAGCUGCAUGAAAAGAAAAAGAUUCCUUGAGUGGAUAGCAGUGAAUCCGUUACUGAUAGUGAAAGUUGUCCUACAAAAUAACCCUGCUCACACCAGCCAUGAAAGUUUUCAAAGAAAAAUCCAGAGGAAGACAACUCAGGGAGAACAGUGGGUUGGGAGCCUGGGCAUUUGCUGUUCACCAUCUGUACCAUGCGCAGUAUGGAACAGCUCCUGCCAUUCUUCAAUGUCCUCAGCCAGAUCUUCAACAGCAAAGUCACAAGUCAGUGUGGAGGACACUCAGGGAGCCCUAUCCUUUACUCAAACAGCUUCCCUAAUAAGGGCAUGAAACUGGAGAAUGACAAACCGUUUUCCAGCAAAGCCAGGCAAAAAAUAGAAGAGAUGGUAGAAAAGGAUUUUCUGGAAGGGGUGAUAAAAACUUGAAUACCGCCAGAGGUUUCAUUGUAAAAAUUAUUUAAAAUAAACACACUGCUCUGAGUUGUAUAGUUUUUUUUCCUUUUUAUAUAUGUAACAAAACACAUUUUAGGUUGUAUUUAAAUAUAUGUAAAUAAGAGCUAAUGUCUGACUGUGGCCUACUCAAGUUUAAAUAUUGUUGGUUCAUAAUGAUUAUGGUGCCUAUGAGAGAUCUCUCUAUAUAUAUCUAGUCCAUUGUUUUACUGUCCCGAGUUGUCUUAAACAUAUGAAAUACACACUGCACAUCUUUUUCUAUUGGUUUCAGGCUUGGUUUAAUUUAGAUUGGUUGGGGAUUUUCUUCUUUACAUUAUUAACCAUGUUCUAGUAUCAGAAUGGUUUGCCAUCAGAAGUUUGGUAACAUGAGAUUUACUUCUUCCACAUCCUUUCACUGAGAGUAGUGAAGAAAAACCGAAGCCGGAAAUGUGUGGCUUCAUAAGGACAUCACAGUUACCUCCCCUUCAGUGUGGAGGAGAGACAGACCAUCUCCUGGCUCACACCUUUGAAUUCCUGAUGAUGCUAAGCAGACAGGUAAGUUAUCUUAUACUCAGGCUGAUGAUACAAAAUUUGGUAGUAUAAAGUCUUCUCCACCCUCCUCAUUUUGUAUCAUGGAUGGGGAAGGUUGUAAAGCAACACCUCAAUUAGGUAUUAGCCACAGCAGAAACAUGACAAGAAGUUGGUAGUAAGAUUUAAUUUUCCAGCACUCUGAAUGAUUUUUCAUAUUGAUGACUGAAUCAUAUACUUAAGCCCCCAAUAUUUUAUAUCAGUGAGACUAAAAUUAGAGGUAAACUUCCAUAACAAGUAUAAAAGACUUACCUAUUUCUAAAAAAAUAUUCUAGUAGUGUUUAGGAAAAAUAGAUCAAUCUACAUACAAUCCACUAAGGUGCAUGUAAACAUGAUUAUAAAUGUCUUAGUACUGCCAUUACUGUUACAGUUUUGUAAAAGCUUUUGAAAAAUCCAGUUUUCAAAACAUAAAAAUUAUCCUCAGAAACUUGGUGUGGGUCUUUCUCCAAUUCCUCCAGCAAGCUGAAAUACUGCCAAGCUUACUUCAUGUGCAAGGCUAUCUGCAUUUUCUUGUGAAUCUGCUUCUGCAUACACUCGGAUGACAUCCUCUGUACCAGAGGGCCGGACAAAUGCUCAGGAGAGCUUGUAUUUCUUCACCAAGUCACUGAUCACCUCCUGUAGUCCAGGCGGUGUAACCACCUGUCUUUCAGCAUCUGUAGUGCUAAUAACUCUCCUGUCUGCAACCUUCACUUUGAGUUGUCUGUUUGGAAGACUCAUGUAGAGAGCACCCCACUGUUGUACAGUCAGGCCUUUCAGAGCCAGGAUCGCCUCAAUCACCAGCAUGUCAGAAAUGCCAUCACCAGCUGCCUGGUUUAAACAAGUCAAUAAUAUUUUCAAGCAUUUUAGCAGCUUUUCCUUUAUUAUCUUCUAAUUCGUUUGGUAGUUGUUUUAUCUUCACUUCUACAGCUUUACUAAACAAUGCUGUGCCAUGCCCAUUUGCUUCAAAAUAAACUCCAAUGUCAAACUCUUGAGCCUUGUGGUACAAAUGUUUUACACCGUUUUAGUGCAGUAAACAGGUACCUUCAUAACUUCUUGAAGAUACCGUUUUGAACUUCCAUUUGCAUAGGCAGCUUGUAUGACACCAAUAUUCAAACUUUCUCUAAUCUCCAACAGGAGAUCUUUAAGGAAACUGCUAAGUAACACUACCAUCUUGUCUCCAUCUAUGAGAUGAAACUGACCAUCUUCAUCCUGGUAGUAAUACACAAUUCUGUCUGCAUCUCAAUUGAAGGAACAGCAUCUUUCAUUAGACUUAAUUUCCAUUCCCUCUGGAGGUUUCUGAUGGCUUUUCACAAAGUCAGCCCCACAUAAAUGGUUGAGCUUCCCUUUGGUCCCAUCAUUAAACAACUGAACUGAUAGUCCCUGUGAGAAGUAGUGUUGCAUUUCCUUUAGCUUCUGAGCCCCUAUACCAUUUGCACAGUCAACUUUAAGUGAUCUAUAUUCAUCUCCACUGCAAGGAGCCUGUUUGGUAAGUUCCACAAAAGCCAAAAGUUUCUGGUAGUAACCUUCUAUGGUUGCCUUUCCAUAUCGGCCACUGGUGUUUCGACAGUACACCAUGUAGUGCAGCUGUGGUGUUGUUAACAAGCUAUAAUCAUGAAAUUGACCUCCUAAAACAGUGACUCCAUCUAUUACAGAUUGUGAAAUUUUCUCACUGCUGGGCCUGGUAUCUCUACCAAUCACCACAAAGGCAUCUUGCUGCAGAUCCACAGCUUUGCUCUCACUGAUGUCAACAAGCACUCUCUGCAGAUCUUGCUCCUCAGCAUUUGCCAGACAUGUAGUGUGCUCCUCCCAGGAUACUGCCAACAUUGCACCCGAAGGAUCAACCAAUUUCACACCAUUGUCUUCCUCAGGAUUGUAUGAUGCCAAGGCCAUGACUCCUAUGGUGGCUUUCACCUGUUUUGACCUCAGGACUGCUAACAGUCCCAUGCGGUACAUGAUAUGAUCAAGAUGUUCUGCAUUUGUUCGAAAUCCAGCAGUCCCAUAUCGAAGAACAAGUCCACUGGGCUUGGCAUGUAAUGUUGAGUGGUUUGUAACAGCACCUGAAUCCAUGUCUCUACAUGAAGACCCUCCCUCCUCCUCUGGGCCCAGGCUCAACACUGCAACCAGGACCACCAGACGAGAGCACUCCAGACACCCAGAUGUGGCCUUGCAUGUCUUCCUCAGUGAAUCUGUUAUUUGUGCACAAGGCGGCUAUUGAUUUUUAAGUGUUCACCUUGUAUCCAGCUACUCUACUGAAACUAUCAAUUAAGUCUAGAAGUCUUUUUGUGGAGUUUUUUGGGUCUUCUAUGCAGAGUAUCAUAUAAUCAGCAAAUAAUGACAGUUUAACUUCUUCAUUUCCUAUCUUUAUUGCUUUUAUUUCUUUCUCAUGUCUAAUUGCUGUGGCUAAUGUUUCCAAAACUAUAUUGAACAGGAGUGUUGAUAGUGGACAUCCUUGCCUUGUUCUUGAUUUUAGCAUGAAAGUUUUCAGUUUGUGACCAUUUAGUAUGUGUUUAGUAUGUGUUUAGUAUGCUGUUGGUUUUUCAUAGAUAACCUUUAUCAGAUUGAGAUAUAGACAAUCUAUUCCAAUUUUCUGUAGGGUUUUUAUGAUGAAUGGGUGUUGAAUUUUGUUGAAUGCUUUUUCUGCAUCUAUUGAGAUGAUCAUAUGGUUUUUGUCCUUGGCUUUGUUAAUAUAAUGUACAUUUAUUGAUUUAUGUAUGUUGAAGCAUCCUUGAAUCUCUGGGAUAAAUCCAACUCGGUCAGGGUGUAUGAUCUUCUUGAUGACCCUCUGUAGUCUGUUUGCCAGUAUCUUAUUGAGGUUUUUUGCAUCUAUGUUCAUUAGAGAGAUUGGCCUAUAGUUCUCUCUUUUGAUUGGGUCUUUCCCUGGUUUUGGAAUCAAAGUCACACUUGCUUCCAGGAAUGAAUUCGUAAGUAUUGCUUCCCUUUCAAUUUCAUAGAAAACUUUAAAAAGUAAUGACAAUAGUUCUUCUCUAAAUGUGUUGUAGAAAUCAGCAGUGAAGCCAUCACUAUAUUGAUGAUCCUCUAGAUUUCUGCUGGAUCUGUUGUGACUUCAACUUUUUCAUUCCUAAUUGCAUGGAUUUGAGCCUUUUCUUUCCGUUUUUUGAUAAGGUUGGAUAAGGUUUUACCGAUUUUGUUUAUUCUUUUGAAAAACUAACUUUGAUUCAUUGAUUUUUUUGUAUCAUUUUCUUAGUCUCCAUUGCAUUGAUUUCUGCUCUGAUCUUUAUAAUUUCCUCCCUUGUAUGAGCUUUGGGUUUGUCUUGCUCUUCUUUUUCUAGGAGCUUAAGAUUCACCAUUAGGUUUUUUAUUUGAGCUUGCUGUGUUUUCCUAGUGUGGGCAUUCACUGCUAUGAAUUUCCCUCAUAGAACUGCUUUCAUUGUGUCCCAUAAAUUCCCAUAUGUUGUACUGGAAUUAUCAUAAAAUUAUAAAAACUGUCUAAUUUCUUCUUUAAUUUCCUCUGUGACCCAUUGGUUCUUCAGGAGAAUGUUAUUCAAUUUCCAUGUGUUUGUGAAGUUCUUGCGGUUUCUUAUGCUAUUGAUUUUCAGUUUACUUGCACUAUGUUCUGAUAAUGUACAUGGGAUAACUUCAGUUCCUUUGAAUUUACUUAAACAUGUUCUAUGAACUAGUAUGUAGUCUAUUUUGGAUAAUGACCCAUGUGCAGCUGAAAAGAAUGUAUAUUCUGAUUUUGUGGGGUGGAACACUCUGUAGACGUCUAUUAAGUCCAUUUGUUCAAAAGCUUGGUUCAGUUCUAGUAUUUCAUUGCCUUGUUAAUUUUUUGUCUAGAUUAUCUGUCUAUUUAUGACAGUGGGGUAUUGAGGUCCUCCACUACAAUAUUAUUAGUGCUUAUUUGGUUUUUCAUGUCCAUUAAUAUUUGUUUUGUAUAGUUGGGGGCAUUCGUAUUUGGUGCAUAUAUAUGUAUGAUUGUCAUCUCUUCCUCUUGGAUUGUUCCCUUCACAAGGAUGUACUGACCUUCUUUGUCUCUCUUAAUUAGUUUUGGUUUGAAAUUUACUUUGCAAAUAG